AUGUAAUGUAAUGCCUACAAUGUUAAUGCAUUGAAUCCCAUUAAAAAUCCCCAGUUAAGUACACUUGGGUUAGAGUAGUACUGGGAUGGGUGACCUCUCAGGAAGUCUUAGUAUUUUACAUG
rfam:Picea glauca, whole genome shotgun sequence.